CCCUUAGAUGUUCUGGGCCGCACGCGCGCUACACUGACUACUUCAACGAGUUGUUUCCUUGAUCGAAAGGUCUGGGUAAUCUUUGAAAGGUAGUCGUGAUGGGGAUAGAUCCUUGCAAUUUUUGAUCUUCAACGAGGAAUUCCUAGUAAACGCAAGUCAUCAGCUUGCAUUGAUUACGUCCCUGCCCUUUGUACACACCGCCCGUCGCACCUACCGAUUGAAUGGUCCGGUGAAUCCUCCGGAUUGGCGCGCACCUCGGUGCCGCCGAGAAGUUGGCUAAACCUUACCAUUUAGAGGAAGGUGAAGUCGUAACA
rnacentral:rRNA from 1 species